rnacentral:rRNA from 1 species
UUGAUCCUGGCUCAGAAUCAACGCUGGCGGCGUGCCUAACACAUGCAAGUCGAACGCGAAAGUGGAGCAAUCCAUGAGUAGAGUGGCGAACGGGUGAGUUACACGUGGGUGACCUACCUUCGAAUGGGGGAUAACGUCCCGAAAGGGACUCUAAUACCGCAUAACAUCCUGCUUUUGAACAGGUGGAGAUCAAAGCCGGUGAUCGCAAGACCUGGCGUUUGAAGAGGGGCCCGCGUCUGAUUAGCUAGUUGGUGAGGUAACGGCUCACCAAGGCGACGAUCAGUAUCCGGCCUGAGAGGUCGGACGGACACACUGGGACUGAGACACGGCCCAGACUCCUACGGGAGGCUGCAGUGGGGAAUUGUUCGCAAUGGGCGCAAGCCUGACGACGCAACGCCGUGUGGAGGAUGAAGGUCUUCGGAUUGUAAACUCCUGUUGCCCGGGACGAAUAGCUUCGACCUAACACGUCGAAGUCUGACGGUACCGGGUGAGGAAGCCCUGGCUAACUCUGUGCCAGCAGCCGCGGUAAUAAGGU